CGACGGCCCCCCGUGAAGUGGCUUCCGGAUGUGCGAAUGAACCAGGCAGAGUUUCACUGGCCAAAUAGAGCCCAGCAAAGCUGAAGUUAACUCCCAGAUUUGGGAUGUACUUCAGAGGUAAAACAUUCAUCCCAUCUUCUUUCCGGAUGUCUGACACCGGGCCUUUCCAUGGUUCUCCCCCUGAUCCUAAGAGUAGCUGAGGUAGAGACUCACUGAAAGAUCUAGGCAGGGAUAUCCCAUCAUGCCCAGGCUCUCUCCAUUCUCUGACCUGGGAACAACUCUGAGCAGGAUUCCACAUCUAGGAGGCCUCGGAACUGAGCGCGAUUUUCUGAGACACACCAAAUGGCUGCUCCCUUUCCGCCGCUGUUGAGGGUCGUUAUCCUGAUUAUCCAGAUCACCUAGAAAGUAUCCGUAUCCAGAAUCAAUAAGAUCAACUCUCUGCUCCUCUGACAGCAGAAGGAGCAGGACCACAAGGAACCAAAGAGCGUGGAAGGAAACGAUGUGACAGGAAAGCUCAGAGAACGGCCACAGGGGGUCGUCAGCAGGCCUUCCAACCUGAAUCAUGAAUAAUUAAUGAAGCGCAAAUCAAAGGGGACUCGAGUUUCAGCCUGUGCAAUUCAUCCAACGGGAGAUCGCCGGAGGGCCAACACGAUUGAGAAACUGGGAGUCGGGUGCUGUGUCAAGUGGGACGCGACUGGUUCCAAAGCUCAAGAAGACCUUGGGUCACUUGGGCUACAUGAGAAAACGCCCCAGUGUGCUGGUUCAGCAUUCCGACUCCUGCCUGUCUCUUCCCGUCCAAGGAACACCGACCCUAACUCGUGCAGCUGCAGAUGACCAUGGGCAGAAUUAGGGGACGUGGCACAAAAGUUCACCGACACGGGAGUUCCACAGAAGGUCCGGUGGAUCUUCGCAAAUCCAGAGACAUGGCAAUGGGACCCAGGGAAUUAGAGCCUCACAGGCACCUGGGAGACUUUUCAGGCAUAAUGCCUAGAGUAGCAAGACGAGCUGAAAAAGGAGCCAGGCACUGAAGGACAAAGCGGUAUUGACUUUCUUCAUCUGUGUUUCCCAGUGCGGUCCAAUUCACUGUGGUAGAAUUCAUGUAUUUAUUUUCCGUCGGCUUGUAUUUGCAAACUUUUGAUGUUAUUGAUUUUUGGUUGGAGAGUUUCGGUUUGAAAAAGUAGAUAUUCUGAAGAUGGAGGUUGUCCAAGAUUGUAUCUCAAGGCUCUACUGACCAAGAACAAAUCACAGACUCAGAGAGCAUCAUAAAAAGGCCCAGACCCACAAUGCCCAGAGAAUCCAGGCUCAACCCACAUUGAUGCUGGCCCUUCAGCCGUGAGACUCCAUGUGCUUCUCCUUAUUCUCCUUCUUUUUUCAAUUCUCUUAUCCCCAGUAAGAGGUGCUUUGGGUCCUGCGGAAGUUCAUUGUCUCAGUUUGUCUGGUGUUUGCAGAAGAGAUGUCUGCAAAGUAGUAGAAGAUCAAAUUGGUGCCUGCCGAAGAAGGAUGAAGUGCUGUAGAGCAUGGUGGAUUUUAAUGCCAAUUCCAACACCACUUAUCAUGUCAGAUUAUCAAGAACCCCUUAAACGUAAGUUGAAAUGAAACUGAG
rnacentral:lncRNA from 1 species